rnacentral:other from 1 species
GAACCCCUGCGAUGUUCGUGAUGAUGAGCCGCAAUUGAGCCAACACUCAAUAAACGGGAUCCCGAUGUCCCCCGUACUCCGUGGAGGCGAGGGCAGGGAACCCACCUGGGAAACCAGGUUCAUUGCGGUCAGUCACACGGCAGAGCGGGGGCCUU